UACGUAGGGUGCAAGCGUUGUCCGGAUUGACUGGGCGUAAAGCGCACGCAGGCGGCCGCGCGCGUGGGGUGUGAAAUCUGGCCGCUUAACGGCCAGGCGCCAUCCCAUACGGCGCGGCUGGAGCCAUGCAGAGGGCGGUGGAAUUCCCAGUGUAGCGGUGAAAUGCGUAGAUAUUGGGAGGAACACCAGUGGCGAAGGCGGCUCACUGGACCGGUACUGACGCUGAUGCGCGAAAGCGUGGGGAGCAAACGGG
rnacentral:rRNA from 1 species